rnacentral:rRNA from 1 species
UACGGAGGGUGCUAGCGUUAUCCGGAUUUACUGGGUUUAAAGGGUGCGUAGGCGGAUUUUUAAGUCAGCGGUGAAAUCUCCGGGCUCAACUCGGAAAUUGCCUUUGAUACUAUUAAUCUUGAAUACAGUUGAGGUGGGCGGAAUGUGUGGUGUAGCGGUGAAAUGCUUAGAUAUCACACAGAACACCGAUUGCGAAGGCAGCUCGCUAAACUGUUAUUGACGCUGAGGCACGAAAGCGUGGGGAUCAAACAGG